UUAGUAGGAGUCGACUCCAUUUCGCUUCCCAUUCCAUUCGCCUUCCCCCAUCCGUCCCCUCCCCCACCCCUUCGAAGCGGCGGUUCCUGCUCCCGAUCCAGCCAGCGGCGACCCGGGAUGGCGGCGGCGCCGCCGGACGGGCAGGAGAAGGUGAUCGCGGCGGCGCAGCACAUCGUCAAGUCGCUCGCCAGCUCCAAGAACGCCGCCGACGACAUGAUCCGCAUCCUCUCCGGCUUCGACAACCGCCUCUCCCUCAUGUCCGACCUCUUCCCCCCGCCCCCUGGCGCCGCCGCCGCGGCCGGCGGUCCCAUCCUCGAGGCGGACGAGGGGACCUCCCAGGGGGACGGGGAGGACGAGCCCGACCCCGACGACGACGCCGCGGCGCGGGCCGAGGAGGAGUGGGACGCCGCGGCGGAGGUGAUCGAGCGCUGGGAGUCCCCCUCCGCCGGGGACAGGACGGUGUUCGGCUCGCGGGAGGACGCCGAGGAGUACCUCGCCGCGGCCGCCUGCCUCGCGGGCGCGCCGGGCCCGCGCGCCGAGGCCGCGCUGCAGGCCGCGAUGGCGCGGCUCGAGGACGAGUUCCGCCACAUGCUCAUCCGCGGGGCCUCGCCGCUCGCCGCGGAGGACCUGCAGGCGUCGCUCCUCCGCCGGCUCUCGCUCACGGUACCCUCCUUCAACUCCUCCGCCGUAGACCUAGAUUGCCCCUCCUUCGCCAACCACGCCGGCGAGGGCGGGGACGAACCGGGCGGCAGGAACUCGGUCUCCGACGACGAGAUCUCGCCCUACCUCAUCGCUCCGGACACCGUCGGCGCCCUCAGGGACAUCGCGGACGUCAUGCUGCGCGCGGGCUACGCGCCCGAGCUGUGCCAGGUCUACGGGGAGGUGCGCCGGGACACGCUCAUGGAGUGCCUCGCCGUGCUUGGGGUCGAUAAGAUGAGCCUGGAGGAGGUACAGCGGGUGGAGUGGGGCGUGCUUGACGGCAAGAUGAAGAAAUGGAUCCAGGCGCUCAAGGUUGUCGUCCGGGGCCUUCUCGCCGAGGAGCGCCGCAUCUGCUGCCAGAUCCUUGCGUCUGACCCAAGCGCCGAGGAGGAGUGCUUCACUGAGGCGGCCAAGGGGUGCGUCCUGCAGCUGCUCAACUUUGGUGAUGCCAUUGCAAUUGGGAAGAGAUCGUCUGAGAAGCUGUUCCGCAUCCUUGGUAUGUAUGAAGCUUUAGCUGAGGUGCUGCCUGAGCUCGAGGGUUUGUUCUCGGGUGAAGCCAAGGAUUUCAUCAAGGAAGAGGCUGAGGGGAUACUCGUGCGGCUUGGGGAUGCAGUGCGUGGCACGAUUGCUGAGUUUGCCAGUGCCAUCCAGGGAGAGACUUCUCGGAGGCCGCUGCCCGGUGGGGAGAUCCACCCCCUCACACGUUAUGUUAUGAACUAUGUACGGCUGCUUGCAGAUUACAAUGCCUCGCUGAAUCAACUUCUUGAAUAUUGGGACGCUGACCUGAAUAUGGGUGAUAAUCCAAACAUGACUCCAUUGGGGCAUUGCGUGCUCAUGCUGAUCACACACCUACAGAGCAAAAUUGAUGAGAAAUCGAGGCUGUAUGAGGAUGAGGCGCUGCAGAAUAUAUUUUUGAUGAACAAUCUGCUGUAUAUUGUGCAGAAGGUGAAGGAUUCAGAGCUGAAGACAUUGCUUGGUGAUAACUGGAUUCGCAAGCGCCGUGGUCAGAUAAGGCAGUACUCUACAGGGUAUCUCCGGUCGUCAUGGACUAGGGUGUUAGCUUGCCUGAGAGAUGAUGGGUUGCCACAGACAAUGGGUUCGUCAAGUGCACUCAAGAACGCACUGAAGGAUAGAUUCAAGAACUUCAACUUGGCCUUUGAGGAGUUGUACAGGACACAGACAUCAUGGAGGGUUGUGGAUCCUCAGUUAAGGGAAGAGCUGAAGAUUUCCAUCUCGGAGAAGGUUCUUCCUGCAUACCGUUCAUUUGUUGGGAGAUUUCGGGGCCAGUUGGAAGGAGGGAGGGGGUCUGCAAGGUACAUAAAGUACAACCCUGAGGAUUUAGAGAACCAGGUUUCAGAUUUCUUUGAAGGGAAAAGGCCAAAUGCUUGAUGGUCAAGAGAUGUUCAUAUCAAUGAUGCCUCCAAGUCCUAUGCAAAUUUUGAUGAUGCUAGUUCCAAGUCCCGUCCAAAUUUUAUUGGCACUACUGUACAGGGAACUUGACCUUCCAUACGUCCUUUGAAGGUCUGAAGAUGGAAAUUUAAACUCUUCCUGAACUGACCGAAAUGAAGCAACCUAAAUUGAAUGAUUUAGCUUCUCAUCCUUGAUCCUCUCAAGAGGGAUAACACCAUUGAAGAAGUCUCCAAAAUAGCCAGGUGGCUCAUACACCAACUUGGCGAUGAUAUCUCUGAGGGUGAUCAAGCCGUCCAGGUUCCCUUCCUCGUUGAUCACAUAGAUCCUCUGCCUCUUUUCUGCAUCCAGCUUCAAUAUUAUGUCCUUGACACUGUCCCCUCUACUGCACGUUAUGAUGCUCAUUUGCCUUUCGCCGGAGCUCUGUCGUGCAUUCGCAAUGAAUUCUUUCGCUUUGAGUGUCCUGCAAGUGGUAAAUUGUUUAGUAUACUUGGCUUCUGUAGUUCUGUGUUGUAUCUUAUGGUUGUUUUGAACCUAGUCUCUUGUUCCAUAUACAUCUUUCAUGUACGUGCACUUUUAGUUCCGGUU